rnacentral:misc_RNA from 1 species
AACGCACAUUGCGCCUUCUGGUAUUCCGGGAGGCAUGCCUGUUUGAGCGUCAGCAAAACCCUUCGGCGUAGCUUUUUAUUUGCAACGUCCGGUGUUGGGCUUCGGAGGAAUGGGCCUAACGGUCCGCUCCGGCCUUAAAAUUGCUGCACGACCGCGAGUUAUUCUUUGGUCAAUAGAGUGGUGUUUUCAUAAUUCUAUACAACCGGAGAGGACUUGCCGGCGUUAAACCAGCGUUGUCCCCACGGGCAACUGAAGUUUGACCUCAAAUCAGACAAGGAUACCCGCUGAACUUAA